rnacentral:lncRNA from 1 species
GGAGUUCGAUUUGCCCGGAGGAAUCCCUGAAUCUUGGCCAAAGUUGCUCGACGUUCUGAAUCUCGAGGACCAACAGGAGAUGAAGUUGGCCGCGGCGUAAGUCCCCUCCCCCGUGGGACAGACCUUACAUAGUCCAAAGCAUACCUUACAUUUUUUCAAUAAUGGGGAAGAAGGAUAAAAACUCUUGUCUCCAUAGAUAUGUGUGCCUUUGUGAGAGUAAUUUUUGACCAGUAGCGAGCUAUCUAUUCUCACCGGCGUUUUCGCGAGC